rnacentral:rRNA from 1 species
GACGGGGGAUGCAAGUGUUAUCCGGAAUCACUGGGCGUAAAGCGUCUGUAGGUGGUCAAAUAAGUCUACUGUUAAAUCUUGAGGCUCAACCUCGAAAUCGCAGUCGAAACUAUUCGACUAGAGUAUAGUAGGGGUAAAGGGAAUUUCCAGUGGAGCGGUGAAAUGCGUAGAGAUUGGAAAGAACACCGAUGGCGAAGGCACUUUACUGGGCUAUUACUAACACUGAGAGACGAAAGCUAGGGUAGCAAAUGGG